GCCCCGCGGGCCGCCAGGCCUCCUACACAGCGGUCACGCCAGCCCUAAGUUACACCGUGCGGCCAGGCCAGGCCGCUCGGGGUUUUGUUGCUCCGAGUUCGGAGGCUGCAGAGCAUCCCUGGGCCACCUGCCCCCAGGAACAGGCUUGGCUCUCCUCACGGCUGUAGUUUUGUCUGUGGGUCAGACGGGAACUGCCCGGAUGCCCGUUGUAGCUGUUGCCCGUCGUUCGCCCGCGGUACGCCCUCUUGGUGUCUCGGCCGGAGGAGGCCGCUCUGAGGUGUCCCCAGAGUCUUCCCUGCUCCUGGCUGGAGCAGCCCCGUCCCUCCACAGUGUUUGCAUACGCCAGAGUGGCAGAGCCUGAGGGACUCAGCACAGGAGGCUGCAGCUGCUACUAGAAGGAAGAGGUUUGACUGUUGGAGGACCCAGAGAAGAAAUUGGUGGAAUGACAUUGGUUUUGCUACAGAGUUUGGAAGAAUGGGGUUUGAAGGCUCAGCUGUUGGCUUGGCGCUCAGGUGCUCGGGAGUAUUGCAUCAGGUGAUGGAGCCCUGCUUUCCUGGAGAUGGCUGAACACCUGCCUGCCCAUGGGAAGUGGUGAAUGAAUUCCUUGUUUUGCUUUGCUUGCAUGCAUGGCUUUUGCUUUACCUAUUAAACUGUCUUCAUCUCAACCCACGAGUCUUCUCACUUUCACCCUUUGGAUUCUCUCCCCCAUCCCACCGGAGGGAAGUGAGUGAGAGGCUGCGUGGAGCUUCGUUGCUGGCUGGGGUUAAACCGUGACAACACUUCAGGCAUGUUUGACUCAUCCUGUUUGGCCAAUCCCUCAGUGCCCUAAUAAACCCGGUGUGAACACUU